rnacentral:rRNA from 1 species
AAUAGAUACCCGGGUAGUCCACGCCGUAAACGAUGUCGACUUGGAGGUUGUUCCCUUGAGGAGUGGCUUCCGGAGCUAACGCGUUAAGUCGACCGCCUGGGGAGUACGGCCGCAAGGUUAAAACUCAAAUGAAUUGACGGGGGCCCGCACAAGCGGUGGAGCAUGUGGUUUAAUUCGAUGCAACGCGAAGAACCUUACCUACUCUUGACAUCCACGGAACUUUUCAGAGAUGAAUUGGUGCCUUCGGGAACCGUGAGACAGGUGCUGCAUGGCUGUCGUCAGCUCGUGUUGUGAAAUGUUGGGUUAAGUCCCGCAACGAGCGCAACCCUUAUCCUUUGUUGCCAGCGGUUAGGCCGGGAACUCAAAGGAGACUGCCAGUGAUAAACUGGAGGAAGGUGGGGAUGACGUCAGGUCAUCAUGGCCCUUACGAGUAGGGCUACACACGUGCUACAAUGGCGCAUACAAAGAGAAGCGACCUCGCGAGAGCAAGCGGACCUCAUAAAGUGCGUCGUAGUCCGGAUUGGAGUCUGCAACUCGACU